AUUGAACGCUGGCGGCAGGCCUAACACAUGCAAGUCGAACGAGUGGCGGACGGGUGAGUAAUGUUUGGGAAACGGCCCGAUGGAGGGGGAUAACUACUGGAACCGGUAGCUAAUACCGCAUACCUUCGGAUGUUCCCAGAUGGGAUUAGCUAGUAGGUGGGGUAACGGCUCACCUAGGCGACGAUCCCUAGCUGGUCUGAGAGGAUGACCAGCCACACUGGAACGGAGACACGGUCCAGACUCCUACGGGAGGCAGCAGUGGGGAAUAUUGCACAAUGGGCGCAAGCCUGAUGCAGCCAUGCCGCGUGUGUGAAGAAGGCCUUCGGGUUGUAAAGUACUGUCAGCGAGGAGGCGUUACCCGCAGAAGAAGCACCGGCUAACUCCGUGCCAGCAGCCGCGGUAAUUC
rnacentral:rRNA from 1 species